AUUCCUUAACAUUAUUUGUCUACAGAUUUGCGACCAUAGACUUGGAGAAGGCCACGAAGAAUAUGAGACUUAAGAGGUUGACACCCUGGACAAAUUGAGCCAGACAUUACUUCGAUGCGCAAUGGCCCACAACGUUGAUAAAGUUACCGGAUCGCUGUUGAUAUUUGUUGAACUAAUUUGCGAAUAUAAAGACUUGGAGAAGGCCACGGAGAAUAUGAGACUUAAGAGGUUGACGUCCCGGACAAAUUGAGCCAGACACGACUUCGAUGAGCAAUGGCCCACAACGUUGAAAAAGUUACCAGAUCGCUGUUGAGAAAAUCCGUGAACCUCGUCCGCAGAUUUAUUUAAGGAGACAAGACAGUGUUUCGAGCUGAUAAUAACUUAAUUCAACCAUCGCAAAGACUCUCCCUUUCUCUCCGAAUGACUGGGCAGGAUUGCAGACACGUUGUUGAUUUGCGACCAUAAAGACUUGGAGAAGGCCACGGAGAAUAUGAGACUUAAGAGAUUGACGUCCCGGACAAAUUGAGCCAGACAUUACUUCGAUGCGCAAUGGCCCACAACGUUGAUAAAGUUACUGGAUCGCUGUUGAUAUUUGUUGAACUAAUUUGCGAAUAUAAAGACUUGGAGAAGGCCACGAAGAAUAUGAGACUUAAGAGGUUGACGUCCCGGACAAAUUGAGCCAGACACGACUUCGAUGAGCAAUGGCCCACAACGUUGAAAAAGUUACCAGAUCGCUGUUGAGAAAAUCCGUGAACCUUGUCCGCAGAUUUAUAUAAGGAGACAAGACAGUGUUUCGAGCUGAUAAUAACCUAAUUCAACCAUCGCAAAGACUCUCCCUUUCUCUCCGAAUGACUGGGCAGGAUUGCAGACACGUUGUUGAUUUGCGAAUAUAAAGACUUGGAGAAGGCCACGGAGAAUAUGAGACUUAAGAGGUUGACGUCCCGGACAUAUUGAGCCAGACAUUACUUCGAUGCGCAAUGGCCCACAACGUUGAUAAAGUUACUGGAUCGCUGUUGAGAAAAUCCGUGAACCUCGUCCGCAGAUUUAUUUAAGGAGACAAGACAGUAUUUCGAGCUGAUAAUAACCUAAUUCAACCAUCGCAAAGACUCUACCUUUCUCUCCGAAUGACUGGGCAGGAUUGCAGACACGUUGUUGAUUUGCGACCAUAGACUUGGAGAAGGCCACGAAGAAUAUGAGACUUAAGAGGUUGACACCCUGGACAAAUUGAGCCAGACAUUACUUCUAUGCGCAAUGGCUCAUGGCUUUAAUAAAGUUACCGGAUCGUUGUUGAGCAAUGACGUAGAUUCAAAUUUAAGCAACAUAGACAGAAUGUUAUCGUUUGCAUAUUAUGUAAUCGUAAGCUCUUCAAUCUGUCUGAUUUAGUGGUUUUUUUUGGUUAAGAUGAUCCACGUAUUUAAAAUCGUAGUCGUGGCUUUCGCCGACUUCGUUUUCGACAUGGAAACUCUUUUCGGAUUCGUCGUCGUACAUGGACAUCGUUCUGCGCACUCGCACACAAACACAAUCGCUUGGAUAGAAAAAUAUUUACUUUUGAAAAGCACAAAUUAAAUUGCGCAUUUUAUGAUAGAUUAAUAAUAAAAUCGAACUAUCACCA